rnacentral:tRNA from 1 species
UGCCCGAUGGUGUAAUGGUAGCACAUCAGUUUUUGGUACUGAGAGUCCAGGUUCGAGUCCUGGUCGGGUAG